GACGAACGCUGGCGGCGUGCCUAAUACAUGCAAGUCGAGCGGACGAAUCGAACGCUUGCUUUUGAUUCGUUAGCGGCGGACGGGUGAGUAACACGUGGGCAACCUGCCCUGUAGACGGGGAUAACACCGAGAAAUCGGUGCUAAUACCGGAUAACACGAAAUGUCGCAUGACGUUUCGUUGAAAGACGGCGCAAGCUGCCGCUACAGGAUGGGCCCGCGGCGCAUUAGCUAGUUGGUGAGGUAACGGCUCACCAAGGCGACGAUACGUAGCCGACCUGAGAGGGUGAUCGGCCACACUGGGACUGAGACACGGCCCAGACUCCUACGGGAGGCAGCAGUAGGGAAUCUUCCGCAAUGGACGAAAGUCUGACGGAGCAACGCCGCGUGAGCGAAGAAGGCCUUCGGGUCGUAAAGCUCUGUUGUUAGGGAAGAACAAGUAACGCAGUAACUGGCGUUACCGUGACGGUACCUAACGAGAAAGCCACGGCUAACUACGUG
rnacentral:rRNA from 1 species